GGCUCAGGACGAACGCUGGCGGCGUGCCUAAUACAUGCAAGUCGAACGGUCUUUCUAUGGAAGCUUGCUUCCACUGAGAAGAUAGUGGCGAACGGGUGAGUAACACGUGGGUAACCUGCCCAUAAGAGGGGGAUAACAUCCGGAAACGGGUGCUAAUACCGCAUAGUUUUCUUGAUCGCAUGAUCGGGAAAGGAAAGACGGCCUUUGUGCUGUCGCUUAUGGAUGGACCCGCGGCGUAUUAGUUAGUUGGUGAGGUAACGGCUCACCAAGACGAUGAUACGUAGCCGACCUGAGAGGGUGAUCGGCCACAUUGGGACUGAGACACGGCCCAAACUCCUACGGGAGGCAGCAGUAGGGAAUCUUCCGCAAUGGACGAAAGUCUGACGGAGCAACGCCGCGUGAGUGAAAGAAGGUUUUCGGAUCGUAAAACUCUGUUGUCAGAGAAGAACAAGUUGGAGAGUAACUGCUCCAGCCUUGACGGUAUCUGACCAGAAAGCCACGGCUAACUACGUGCCAGCCGCCGC
rnacentral:rRNA from 1 species